UAGCAUAUCAUAGCGGAGGAAAAGAAACCAACAGGGAUUGCCUCAGUAACGGCGAGUGAAGCGGCAACAGCUCAAAUUUGAAAUCUGGCCCCAGGCCCGAGUUGUAAUUUGCAGAGGAUGCUUCCGGUGCGGCGCCGUCCAAGUCCCCUGGAACGGGGUGCCACAGAGGGUGAGAGCCCCGUCGGGUCGGCCGCCAAGCCUAUGUGAAGCUCCUUCGACGAGUCGAGUAGUUUGGGAAUGCUGCUCUAAAUGGGAGGUAGACCCCUUCUAAAGCUAAAUACCGGCCAGAGACCGAUAGCGCACAAGUAGAGUGAUCGAAAGAUGAAAAGCACUUUGAAAAGAGGGUUAAACAGUACGUGAAAUUGUUGAAAGGGAAGCGCUUGUGACCAGACGUGCGCCGGGCGUUCAGCGGGCGUUCUCGCCCGUGUACUCGCCCCGGCGCAGGCCAGCGUCGGUUCGGAUGGGUGGACAAAGGUGCUAGGAACGUGGCUCCCUCGGGAGUGUUAUAGCCUGGUGCGUCAUGCCCCCGUCCGGACCGAGGUUCGCGCUCUGCAAGGACGCUGGCGUAAUGGUCCCCAGCGGCCCGUCUUGAAACACGGACCAAGGAGUCGAGGUUUUGUGCGAGUGUCUGGGUGUCAAACCCGCACGCGUAAUGAAAGUGAACGCAGGUGGGAGCUUCGGCGCACCACCGACCGAUCCUGAAGUUUUCGGAUGGAUUUGAGUAAGAGCAUAGGGCCUCGGACCCGAAAGAUGGUGAACUAUACUUGGAUAGGGUGAAGCCAGAGGAAACUCUGGUGGAGGCUCGCAGCGGGUUCUGACGUGCAAAUCGAUCGUCAAAUCUGAGUAUGGGGGCGAAAGACUAAUCGAUCAUCUAGUAGCUGGGUACCGCGA
rnacentral:rRNA from 1 species